UAGGUUGGCCACAAGGCAGACAGAAGAGAUAUGAAAACAUAUGCUACCUUCCUUCUGUUCUGUCUGCUUUGUGGCCAACCAA